CUAUUGUGUAUUGGGCGCUUAAUUAUUUAUCCACCCGCGAGGCAGACUCCAGCUCCCGAGGGUCUUGCUCCUUGCCUGCCGUCCCCCCCGCCCCCGCCAAGUUUCUCCGAGGGGGCGGGAAGGGAGUAAGGACUGACUCGUGGAGACCCCUUUUUGCGCUCGAUCCCUGCGGAAUCCCUCCCCUCCUCCACCCCAUUCGGACGGUGCCGAAGGCGCCCCGGUUGCCCGGGCUCGAGGUGCAGGCCGCCACUCUCGGGGCCAAGUGCUGUGUUCUCCCCUCUGUAGUCCCGGGCGGGGGGACCGUUCCAGCCACACGGCUGCACCUUGGAAGGAGUUGCCGACGGCCCCGGGGAGGACCUCUCCACCACUGCUUUUCGUCAGCCAUCUCAAACUCCUGUUUGAGGCGAGAUUAUCAACAAGUCGGUGGCGAAGUAGCGCGUUACGUUUCUUUCAAACAAGCUGCCCCGGGCCCCGCCAGGCCGCACCACAGUUCUUACAGUUCUGUGGGGUAAAUGUAAUUGCCCCAUUUGACAAGUUCAGAGAUGUGACUUUCCCAGGAUCACACAGCUGCUCACCUGGGAUUCAGAAGUACUGGCCCCAACCAGAGGUCCAACACUUCAGGAGAGCCUAGGCAGGCUGUGCCUCUUGGAAAGCCUGCAUCAUCCAUUCUGAUCUUCAGUAUUCCUGUACUGGACCCAGUAUACGCACCUCCUGAGAGUCAGCUGGCUCCACAUUCUCCCAGCCCUCCUAACGCCGUGGAAUAUCACACCUCUGUUAGGGUGAAGACCAAGCAACCCAUGGUACCUGGGAUCUGCCUACCAGGGCCAGGCAACUCUCCUCGAGAAAUGCAGGGGCGGGCUUCCCUGGUGGCGCAGUGGUUGGGGGUCUGCCUGCCGAUGCAGGGGACGCGGGUUCGUGCCCCGGUCUGGGAAGAUCUCACAUGCCGCGGAGCGGCUGGGCCCGUGAGCCAUGGCCGCUGAGCCUGCGCGUCCGGAGCCUGUGCUCCGCAACGGGAGAGGCCACAGCAGUAAGAGGCCCGCGUACCACACACACAAAAAAAGACAUGCAGGGGUGUUAAACCUUGCAGCAAAUUUUGACGAACAAAAGACAAGAGAUGGGAGGGAACCAGCAUAUGGACGGUCGUAGUUCCAUUUGGCCUGUCAGGAGAUGUCCAGGAGGUGUGAUUGAGUGACUGGCAAUGUUUUCUUCCAAAGAUGCAGCCACCUGGAUAACCCACAGCCUUGUAUUUACUGUCCUCCUUCCUUCCUUUACUUCCGUUUUCUUUUCUUUUUCUUGUCCUAGAAUUGUAGCCCUCAAUAAAGUGUUAGCAAGCAA